rnacentral:rRNA from 1 species
GCUCAUCACAUCCUGGGGCUGAAGUAGGUCCCAAGGGUAUGCCUGUUCGCCAUUUAAAGUGGUACGCGAGCUGGGUUUAGAACGUCGUGAGACAGUUCGGACCCUAUCUGCCGUGGGCGCUGGAGAAUUGAGGGGGGCUGCUCCUAGUACGAGAGGACCGGAGUGGAUGCAUCACUGGUGUUCGGGUUGUCAUGCCAAUGGCACUGCCCGGUAGCUAAAUGCGGAAGAGAUAAGUGCUGAAAGCAUCUAAGCACGAAACUUGCCCCGAUAUGAGUUCUCCCUGAGACUUUAAGUCUCCUGAAGGAAUGUUAAAGACGAUGACUUUGAUAGGCGGGGUGUGUAUGCGC